rnacentral:rRNA from 1 species
UGGUGGAUUGAUUUGUCUGCUUAAUUGCGAUAACGAACGAGACCCGAGCCUUUAACUAGCGCGGUUGGCGUUGCUAGCCAAGCUUCUUAAAGGGACGAGCGGUGCAAGCCGCGGGAAGCUGCGGGCAAUAACA